AUAUUCCUGGAAUGUUCGACAACUCCUGCCGUUUUGAACCUACAUUUACUUUAAACGGGAUUCCUACAUUGCCGGAUUGGAUGUCAGGCCCCCAUAGGUCAGGGGAAGGCAGAAAAGCGGUUGCGGUUACCCACCUAGCAUUGCUAGGAGUCAAGAGGCAGGAACCGGCAUUCUGGGUGAGAA
rnacentral:other from 2 species